GGCUGGUUGGCGCAACGGUAGCGCGUUCGACUCCAGUUUUUCCGGAAUCCGGAGGAUUGGGUAUCGAAAGGCUAGGUGUUCGAAUCACCUACUGGUCA